rnacentral:rRNA from 1 species
AGCGAUCUUCUUCGGAAGAGAGCGGCGGACGGGUGAGUAACGCGUGGGUAACCUGCCCUUCAGUGGGGGAUAACACAGGGAAACCUGUGCUAAUACCGCAUAACACAUAUUGAUGGCAUCAUGAAUAUGUCAAAGAUUUAUCGCUGAAGGAUGGGCUCGCGUCCAAUUAGGUAGUUGGUGAGGUAACGGCCCACCAAGCCGACGAUUGGUAGCCGGGCUGAGAGGCUCAACGGCCACAUUGGGACUGAGACACGGCCCAGACUCC